GGGGAUGUAGCUCAGUGGUAGAGUACUUGCCUAGCAUGCAGGAAGCUUUAGGUUUAAUCCCCA
rnacentral:tRNA from 1 species